rnacentral:rRNA from 1 species
UACGGAGGGAGCAAGCGUUACUCGGAAUUAUUGGGCGUAAAGGGCGCGUAGGCGAUUUGAAAAGUCUUGUGUGAAAGCCCCGAGCUUAACUCGGGAAGUGCACAAGAAACUGUUGAAUUUGAGUUCCGGAGAGGAAGGCAGAAUUCCCGGUGUAGCGGUGAAAUGCGUAGAUAUCGGGAGGAAUACCAGUGGCGAAGGCGGCCUUCUGGACGGAUACUGACGCUGAGGCGCGAAAGCCAGGGGAGCGAACGGG